rnacentral:misc_RNA from 1 species
GAAAUCUUCAAAGUAGAACCUUUUGUUAAUUCAAUUGGUUCCUUACUUUGGUAUUGGAGGUCUUUGCAGCUUCACACCUGCUCCUCUUUGUUCAUUAGCUGGAUCUCAGUGUUAUGCUUGGUUCCACUCAGCGUGAUAAGUAUCUAUCGCUGAGGACACUGUAAAAAGGUGGCCAAGGUAAAUGCAGAUGAACCGCUUCCAACAGUCCAUUGACUUGGACAAAUUAAAUUUUUAUGAUCUGAUCUCAAAUCAGGUAGGACUACCCGCUGAACUUAA